GUUGACAACCACAGCGCGUUGAAAACAUCGGUUCUCGUCCGACCACCGGAUUUAAGUAAAGUUUGGCCCGGGUAGUAAUCGCCUGGGUGACUGGCUGGGAAACGCAAGUGCUGAUGUCU
rnacentral:rRNA from 1 species